UGAGACAGGUGCUGCAUGGCUGUCGUCAGCUCGUGUUGUGAAAUGUUGGGUUAAGUCCGCAACGAGCGCAACCCUUAUCCUUUGUUGCCAGCGGUUCGGCCGGGAACUCAAAGGAGACUGCCGGUGAUAAACCGGAGGAAGGUGGGGAUGACGUCAAGUCAUCAUGGCCCUUACGGCCAGGGCUACACACGUGCUACAAUGGCGCAUACAAAGAGAAGCGACCUCGCGAGAGCAAGCGGACCUCAUAAAGUGCGUCGUAGUCCGGAUUGGAGUCUGCAACUCGACUCCAUGAAGUCGGAAUCGCUAGUAAUCGUAGAUCAGAAUGCUACGGUGAAUACGUUCCCGGGCCUUGUACACACCGCCCGUCACACCAUGGGAGUGGGUUGCAAAAGAAGUAGGUAGCUUAACCUUCGGGAGGGCGCUUACCACUUUGUGAUUCAUGACUGGGGUGAAGUCGUAACAAGGUAGGCGUAGACGU
rnacentral:rRNA from 1 species